rnacentral:ncRNA from 2 species
ACGCUGUUUCAGGGCGAGGUGAAAUUCCUCACUGGCGGUAACAGAUCCCCCGAAGCAACCUAGCUUCAUCUGAAGCCCGCAACCCUGCUUGGCCUGGCGGCUAAGCAGACUGAUUUGGUGCAAACCCAAAGCCAACGGUUACAGUCCGGAUGGAAGAGACAGGAG